AGAGUUUGAUCAUGGCUCAGAUUGAACGCUGGCGGCAGGCUUAACACAUGCAAGUCGAGCGGGGGAAAGUAGCUUGCUACUGGACCUAGCGGCGGACGGGUGAGUAAUGCUUAGGAAUCUGCCUAUUAGUGGGGGACAACAUUCCGAAAGGAAUGCUAAUACCGCAUACGUCCUACGGGAGAAAGCAGGGGACCUUCGGGCCUUGCGCUAAUAGAUGAGCCUAAGUCGGAUUAGCUAGUUGGUGGGGUAAAGGCCUACCAAGGCGACGAUCUGUAGCGGGUCUGAGAGGAUGAUCCGCCACACUGGGACUGAGACACGGCCCAGACUCCUACGGGAGGCAGCAGUGGGGAAUAUUGGACAAUGGGGGGAACCCUGAUCCAGCCAUGCCGCGUGUGUGAAGAAGGCCUUAUGGUUGUAAAGCACUUUAAGCGAGGAGGAGGCUACUAGUAUUAAUACUACUGGAUAGUGGACGUUACUCGCAGAAUAAGCACCGGCUAACUCUGUGCCAGCAGCCGCGGUAAUACAGAGGGUGCGAGCGUUAAUCGGAUUUACUGGGCGUAAAGCGUGCGUAGGCGGCCAUUUAAGUCAAAUGUGAAAUCCCCGAGCUUAACUUGGGAAUUGCAUUCGAUACUGGAUGGCUAGAGUAUGGGAGAGGAUGGUAGAAUUCCAGGUGUAGCGGUGAAAUGCGUAGAGAUCUGGAGGAAUACCGAUGGCGAAGGCAGCCAUCUGGACUAAUACUGACGCUGAGGUACGAAAGCAUGGGGAGCAACAGGAUUAGAUACCCUGGUAGUCCAUGCCGUAAACGAUGUCUACUAGCCGUUGGGCCUUUGAGGCUUUAGUGGCGCAGCUAACGCGAUAAGUAGACCGCCUGGGGAGUACGGUCGCAAGACUAAAACUCAAAUGAAUUGACGG
rnacentral:rRNA from 1 species